GUUAUUGCGUGCUGCAUACUCUAUUUGUCAACCUGCAGUUUCACAUGACCCUUCUAUCCACAUCCUGAUAUUUUUCUAAUUUAAUUUAAAAAUCCUAUUUUUAUUUCACAACAUGUAUAAAUAAAUCCAGAUAAAGCAUCCUGAGUAAACUGGACAAGCCACACAUCUCGCUGGGGGUCACCUCACACCAGCAGCUCAUUGCUACGUGCAUUUCCUUAUUCUCACACUGUCCCUGUGUGCAGGAAGUCACGCGGGUUUACCGCUGCAGCUCGGCUCUUACCGGUGGCAACAACAAACCACCAGCUCUGAGCUCCUUUGGGGGGGAUUACAUUCAGUAACUUAGAUUGAAUGAAUGCAGUGGCAUCGUCCAACGCAAUAUCCAGUUGUCUUCUCACGUCAACGUCCAAUCAUACCAGGCUGCCUCUUCCACCCGGAGCACGUCGCGUGAAUGUAAUGAAAACCUACACAACCUGUGCGCAAUGUCCAGGCGCACGUCCUCGCGCAGGCCGACCUGAGACUCUUCUCUUGAGGCCGGAAUGGCCGCUCUGACCCCGAGGAGGGCGGCGCGCGGGGAAGCAGCAACGUCUGAUGGAGCAGAUGGAGGCAACAGGAUGAAUAAAUCAUCAUUACAUCUGGAUGGGAACGAGCUGAGGGGAACGUCGCGUGUGUUAAUUGAGUUAACGGGAUCGACGCGAGAGGCCCGAGCUGAUCGCUGUGGUGAAGAUGGCUGCUUCGCUGCUUGUUUGAGUUUAGUGAGUCAAAUCCUCUAAUGCUGAAAAUGUUUUGCCUCUUGAUUUUGUUCUUCAUUUCUGAAUUUGGAGUAAGGAAUUUGGUUUGAAUCCCAAUUUGGCCACAAAGAAGUGUGUUUGUGUGUGUGAGUGAGUGUGUGUGGGGGGGGGGGCACGCACGUGUACGUGUGCGUCGGGGCGGCUGUCAGAUCACUUUGCUGAUUGGCCAAUGUGACAGGCAUCAAAAAGCGCCGUGGGAAGAGAAGGAGGGAGGCGGGCUGCCCAGCUGUCAAUCACUGCCAGUCACAAGUGCAGCUCAGCCAACAAAGCAUCACCUGGGCCCCCAAACACACACACACACACACACACACACACAGACACACAUACACGCAACCUUUUAAAGCCCACAUGUACAAACAUAAUCCAUAAAUCUCCAUGCAUACAUCCCGACAUCAACUUCACGUUAAAAAAAAGCCACCGACUCCAUCGUCACACGUCCACACCAGUCGUCAGUCUUCACACAGACAGGCGUUCAGCUUGACAGAGUAAUUAUGACGUCCCACUCUGAAGGAGCCCUGGGCUGAAAGGUGAGAGUUAUCGAUCCCGCACAGGAGGAAAUUUAUCAAUGUCCAAACGCUCUGCUCUGACAGGAACCCAAUCCACUUAGAGCGCAAUGUUCAAACUGUUCAAAACACACACCUCCGCUCGGCGCAGAGGACGAGCCGCCAGCUGGCGUGAAGGCCCGGCUGGCGUCAGAGGGAUCAGAGGGUAAAGACUUAUUAUGUGGUUGUUUUGAUCCUCUAAAUGAAAUGACAAAAAAAAUAACAUUGUUUGUCCCUGUCGGAUCUGACAUCAGGUUGUAUUUGAUUUGGAAAAGAAGCUUUAUCAUUAAUGUUUGACACCGGUUUGCGGAAUAGAGUUGACACCAUUAUCUGGUAAAAUAACAUUUUAGAAAAGUUCUUAUUCUCUUUUUCCGUCAAAUUUGAAAUUUACCAAAACUUCUGCCUCUCGCUAUUGCGAUGGACCACUAGUUAGUGAAGCUCCCACGACGGUACCCGUAAACUAUUAUCUCUACUUGAUUAAAGUGUCAAUUCCAUUUCUGUUUAUACUAUUAAGUGUAUAUGGAUGUGAUCUUUGGACCUUAUGGUUGUGUGAUUCACGACAAAGUAAAUCUGC
ensembl:lncRNA